rnacentral:lncRNA from 1 species
UAAUGCCUAAUUAGGUGGUUAUGUGUGUGAUAUGUGCCUUCAAGUCCUGCCUGACCCAUAGCAAUUCUAAUAGGGUUUUCAAUGUAAGUGAGAUAUUUCAGGUGUAGUUUUACUGGUGUUACUCCCCAUUACAUCAUUUUGAAAGCUCUGAUAAAUCCACCCCUUCUGAAAUCAGGGAUUGUUAUACAGGAAAAUGAGACAAUAACUAUUCAAGGCACAGUAUCACAGCCUGUUUGCGAUCAGAGCACUUGGGCGCAAUGCUGGUCGAUGGCUACUUCACACGGUCUAGAAGGCUCAGUCCAAUCAGUGCAGCGAUGAUUGCACAAAGCCACCAACAGACCUUUCUUGUCAGAUGUGGCCUAGAUGCUGGGAAUCUGGUUCUCUGAAGACACAUGUCAUUACUACAGAAGGGUUCUUCUAAUGGUUAAGUGGCAUAUGGCAUAAGAAAGGGAGCAGACAUCAUCAAUAAGUCUUCAGGGUCUCUGCCAGUUUGCUUCUGUCUUGCCCAGCAACUGGCUGUUCAUGCAACACCCCUGGCUGCCACCAUUUCCAGCUGGCACCACAGCCAAUCUUGCAACUAUGCCCUCCACUGCAGCCACUAAGCAGAGAAUGGCCACAGCAAGACCAUCCACUGUGUCACAGUGACGAAGUCUACAAUAACUGUAUUCAUAAUGAAAAAGGCACUCCUACUGACAAGAGGAAGAUCUCUACAGAAGGAAAUGCUCUGCUUAUGAUCAGAGCACUUGGGCGCAGUGCUGAUCCAUGGCUACUUCACACAUGGCUCCUAAAUUAAAAAAU